rnacentral:rRNA from 1 species
GACGAACGCUGGCGGCGUGCUUAACACAUGCAAGUCGAACGAAGUGGCGCACGGGUGAGUAACGCGUAAUCAACAUGCCCUUCAGAGGGGGAAAACAGUUGGAAACGACUGAUAAUACCGCAUACUGAAGGAGGGGUUUGCGUCUGAUUAGCUAGUUGGAGGGGUAACGGACCACCAAGGCGAUGAUAAGUAGCCGGUCUUAGAUGGUGAACGGCCAAAUUGGGAAGGAGAAACGGCCCAGACUCCUACGGGAGGCAGCAGUGGGGAAUCUUUCGCAAUGGACGAAAGUCUGACGGAGCAAAGCCGCGUGAGUGAUGACGGCCUUCGGGUUGUAAAGCUCUUUUAAUCGGGACGUGGUACCGGAAUAGAAAGCCACGGCUAACUACGUGCCAGCAGCCGCGGUAAUUC